GAAAAAAAAAAAAGUUCGAAUUCAUUUCCGUUCUUGCAACGGCUUAGAAACCAAACUGGUUCAUUUCGAAGGCGUGUGAAAAGAGAAUCCGAUCCAUUCACCAGCAGGCAGAGACCACGAAGUGCUUAAGAUUGUGGAAUCACAGGCGGGCACCACCAUGCCUCACUAAUCCACUGGGAAUUCUCUGAGUCUUGGUGUUGCCCCCUCAGCAAGAGGCUCCGGACCCCGGCAGAUGCUGCUUAAAGCACGUGCAUCCCUCGGGACGCACAGUUAUUUCGUCAAGUAUGAAGGAUUACUCUCCGGCUACCCAGGCCUACACAAGAGGCCCUUAUGGGCAGGUUGUAGCCCAUGAUAUUCAGGGUCGUGCAGCUGAGGAGCAGAAGGAAAGAUGGCGGCGUCAUAUACAUCCACUUGGUUUUCUCUAGGUUCCAGAUGUGAGUGUGCCCUCAGCUACUGUGCCAGCCACCAUGCCUGCAAGCUACUGCUCUGGCCACCAUGCCCACCUGCUACCACACUUUCCCACCGUGAUGGUAAUAGAUUGUUCCUCUGGAACUGUAUACAGGAAAUAAACCCGUCCUCUAU
rnacentral:lncRNA from 1 species